AGAGUUUGAUCCUGGCUCAGGACGAACGCUGGCGGCGUGCCUAAUACAUGCAAGUCGAACGCCUCUUUUUCCACCGGAGCUUGCUCCAUCGGAAAAAGAGGAGUGGCGAACGGGUGAGUAACACGUGGGUAACCUGCCCAUCAGAAGGGGAUAACACUUGGAAACAGGUGCUAAUACCGUAUAACAAUCGAAACCGCAUGGUUUCGAUUUGAAAGGCGCUUCCGGGUGUCGCUGAUGGAUGGACCCGCGGUGCAUUAGCUAGUUGGUGAGGUAACGGCUCACCAAGGCGACGAUGCAUAGCCGACCUGAGAGGGUGAUCGGCCACAUUGGGACUGAGACACGGCCCAAACUCCUACGGGAGGCAGCAGUAGGGAAUCUUCGGCAAUGGACGAAAGUCUGACCGAGCAACGCCGCGUGAGUGAAGAAGGUUUUCGGAUCGUAAAACUCUGUUGUUAGAGAAGAACAAGGAUGAGAGUAACUGUUCAUCCCUUGACGGUAUCUAACCAGAAAGCCACGGCUAACUACGUGCCAGCAGCCGCGGUAAUACGUAGGUGGCAAGCGUUGUCCGGAUUUAUUGGGCGUAAAGCGAGCGCAGGCGGUUUCUUAAGUCUGAUGUGAAAGCCCCCGGCUCAACCGGGGAGGGUCAUUGGAAACUGGGAGACUUGAGUGCAGAAGAGGAGAGUGGAAUUCCAUGUGUAGCGGUGAAAUGCGUAGAUAUAUGGAGGAACACCAGUGGCGAAGGUGACGGUCUGGGCCGCAACUGACGCUGAGGCGCGAAAGCCGGGGGAGCGAACAGGAUUAGAUACCCUGGUAGUCCCGGCCGUAAACGAUGGGCGCUAGGUGUGGGGAAACAUUUUCUCUGUGCCGCAGCCAACGCAUUAAGCGCCCCGCCUGGGGAGUACGGCGGCAACGCUAAAACUCAAAGGAAUUGACGGGGGCCCGCACAAGCAGCGGAGCAUGUGGCUUAAUUGGAAGCAACGCGAAGAACCUUACCAGGGCUUGACAUCCGGGUGAAGCGGCGGAGACGCCGUGGCCGAGAGGAGCCCGGACAGGUGGUGCAUGGCUGUCGUCAGCUCGUGCCGUGAGGUGUUGGGUUAAGUCCCGCAACGAGCGCAACCCCCGUCGCGUGUUGCCAGCAAUUCGGUUGGGCACUCGCGCCGAGACUGCCGGCGUCAAGCCGGAGGAAGGUGGGGACGACGUCAAGUCAUCAUGCCCCUUAUGCCCUGGGCUGCACACGUGCUACAAUGGCCGGCACAACGGGUUGCGACCCCGCGAGGGGGAGCGGAUCCCUUAAAGCCGGCCCCAGUUCGGACCGCAGGCUGCAACCCGCCUGCGCGAAGCCGGAGUUGCUAGUAAUCGUGGAUCAGCAUGCCACGGUGAAUACGUUCCCGGGCCUUGCACUCACCGCCCGUCA
rnacentral:rRNA from 1 species